CGCUCCCGAGUGCCUCACAGUUCGAUUCCCCCGGAAACGACAGCCCGCCCCCACCGCGUUCCGUUGCCAGCGCUCCUCCGCCGCCGCGGCCUCCGGCACUGAGCGAGGCUGCCCCGGUGCAGUAUGGAGGCGAAGGUAGGGUCCACGCAGAUUACGGGCGGCGCGUGCUCUGUGUUGGCGGAGGAGACCGAAAAGUGGAUGGAACAGGCGAUGCAAAUGGCCAAAGAAGCCCUAGAAAAUAUUGAGGUUCCUGUUGGCUGCCUUUUGGUCUACAACAAUGAAGUUGUAGGGAAGGGAAGAAAUGAAGUUAAUCAAACCAAAAAUGCUACUCGACAUGCAGAAAUGGUGGCCAUCGACCAGGCCCUAGAUUGGUGUCGUCGACAUGGCAAGAGUCCUUCCGAGGUGUUUGAACACAUGGUACUGUACGUCACCGUAGAGCCGUGUAUCAUGUGCGCAGCCGCUCUCCGCCUGAUGAAAAUCCCGCUGGUUGUCUAUGGCUGUCAGAAUGAACGAUUUGGUGGUUGUGGCUCUGUUCUAGAUAUUGCCUCUGCUGAUCUACCGAAUACUGGGAGACCAUUUCAGUGCAUCCCUGGAUAUCGGGCUGAGGAAGCAGUGGAGAUGUUAAAGACCUUCUACAAACAAGAAAAUCCAAAUGCACCAAAAUCAAAGGUUCGGAAAAAGGAAUGUCAGAAAUCCUGAACUUGUUCUAAUGAAAGACUCAUGUUCCUGGACGACACUCUUGGACAGAAAGCUGUUGACAUUGUUGAAUCGCUCAGAGACCAGCCUGCCUUCCUGUGGUUUCCGUGGAAUCGAAAUGUUUGCAUGGGUUUCGUCAUCUCCAGGAGAAGCUAGCUGGUCAUGCAGUGACGGCCUCGUCCUUCACCAGGAUGCCAAGUGUCGGGGGAUGAACCCAGAGACUUCAUAGAGCAGGCUGGUCCAAUUUAGGAAACGGAAUCCUCUAAAGUCAUAAGUAGAGAUGCAAAAGCCUUCAGUUGCUUCUAUGUUACUGAAAUCUUGAGAAGUGGAUCUAGAAGCACAUUCCUCCUCCUCUCCCUUCCUCAAGAAUGUGGAUGAUGGAGUCGUCUUUACACUUGCACGCAGAGAAAAAGGUAAAGCGUGAGCAUCCUUUUGAGCACUGGUGGGGUUAAGCCAGAGGUUCCAAGCCAGAGGGAGAAACCGCAGGUCAUUUUUUUCUCACCACUCGUUGAUUAUAGAGCAAGUAGUAGAGUCAUCCCGAUGGAUUCUGCUCCAGGACAAGCCUGGAGCUUCUGUGAAGGGUCAGUGGGUGCAUUGGCAGCACCUGGGCUGGGUAGGCAUGUCUUAGCACAUUCCCUGUCCCUGGUGAGACAGCCCUGGGUGUCCUGCCAGAAGUGUGGCCAGAGUUCAGGGCCUGGAGUUCCCAAAGCAAAGAUGACCCACCAUGGGAAAACCAAACCAAACCCCAAAUCUGAUCGUAUGAUCUUAUUUCAAACCUAGCAGUGAUGUAUAAAUCCAAUGUGCUGCAGUAUAAGUGAGUUGAAUCAGCCUUAGGUCUAAAGCCCCACAGGUGUCAACUCCUUUAGGUGUUGGUUUGGUGGCAAAAAGUAGAAAAGUGUUAUUUGCUAAAGAAAAGGGGUAGUAACAGGGCUCCAGAUGAACUGUCCCAGAAAGUCUUUAAAAAUAUUCCAUUCCUUGAGGUUUCUUCAUUCUGAGAGUCAACUGGAGAAAUAAUUUCCUUUUAAAUGGUGGUUUUUCUUCUUUCCUGCCUUUUUUUUUAAACAACAUUUAAUUUUCUGUUAAUAUCAAUUCUAUAGUUACAUAAAACUUUUUUUUAAAACAUAGACCUUUCUCACUUCAGGUCAAAAUAUAACUUAUUUGAUGCUAGAUGUAACACACAAACAUCUCAGAAAAAUAAGUAACACUGUCACGGACAUCUUUAUCUGGUUUCUGACCUUAAAAGGGAAUGCCUUUGGUAUUUGAGAUGACUAUUUCUUCUCAUGAUAUGAGAUAUUUUUAUAUUACUAACGGUAUUAUCAAAAAUAAAUGUUAAAAUUUCUCAAAAGCCUUAGAGCAACUGUGAAGAGAAUCAUAUGAUUUUUUCUUUGUGAACUAUUGAGGCAAUGUUUUUAACAAAAAUCCUAAUAUUAAGCCAGGCUUGAAUUUUUAGAAUAAGACCUUACUUUUGAAAAAUGAUUUCUAUAGUGUUGGGUUUAUGUUGCUGAUAUUUUAGCUAAAGCAAGUAAAAAAGUUCUUUUUUUGCAUGUUGCCUUUGUUUUGAGGGUUUUAUUAACUUUGAAAAAUAAUUUGGGAAGUGUUUCAUCAUUCUGUAAUCUUGGAACAGUUUAAUAAACAUGAGAAUUGUUACUUGAAAGUUUUCAAGAACUUGCUCAUAAAAUACUCUGGACCCAACUCCUUUUUCGGAGCUAGUUAAUUGAACAUUAAAAAAAAAUGGCUUUCCACAGGGAGAUCAGCUCGGAGCUUUGUGACCACCUAGAGGGGUAGGAUUGGGAGGGUGGGAGAGAGAUGCAAGCGGGAGGAGAUAUGAGGAUAUAUGUUUAUGUAUAGCUGAUUCACUUUGUUAUACAGCAGAAACUAACACAUCCUUGUAAAGCAAUUAUACUCCAAUAAAGAUGUUAAAAAAAAUGGCUUUCACGAAUAUCAGUCAUUACAUCUUUCUAAUUCUUAUUGAAUCCAUUUUCCUUGAAUUUCAUUGGCUUCUAAGAAUUUGUCAUAGAGCUA